GACCACUACGGUGGCCUAGUGGUAUGAGCGUCCGCCUCGGAUGAGAUAGGUCGUGGGUUCGAUACCCGGUUGAGUCA